GCUGAGCUCGGUGCUGGGGUAGAGGGUCUCUGGGCAGGACUCCCAGCUGGAUGCCGGAGAGGCCAGCCACGGGUGGGGCGUUCUGGGACAUGCCAGGCUCAUGAGUUGCCCCAGCUGGGUGCUUGGCACUGAACUCAGUGAUUAAAAAUAACCGCCCGGCGCCUGGGCUUCCAGGCCAAGGUCCAGGGAGGCUUGGGGCGACAGCUGCAGCCCAUCCUCACCCCUUCCAGCAGCCCUGACACUGGCGGCUCCAGGCCUGGAGGAAGGAGCGGCGCACUCAGAAGGCCGCGCCCGCAUCUCAUCCCCUCCAGCGCGGGGGUGGGAAGAAGAGGGAUCCCUCCUCACCCACCACGCUCAUACCCAAGGGCCCUGGAGGGCGUCCUCACAGGCAGGACCCUGGACCCCCAAGCACACACAGCCUGAUUCCGACCCGGAGAUUGCCCGCUACCGCCCCCGCCCCCGCCAGGCCCGGGAGGACUCACACCACCAGGGAAGAGAUUUGGAGCUUCCACCCUGUCCUCGUCAUGACUGGGGAUUUCAGAAGCUGACGUCAUCGGGGUUGGGGGAAGGCUUGGGAUUGUCACCAGAUCUCCCUCCCUCACUCUCCUGCCGGCCUCCUCCUCAGCCCUCCUUUCACACAGCCAACACUCAGGGGUGACAUCACACUUAGGAAGUCUCAUCAACCUGAGCACACAAGGGAAGGUGGCCUUUCAGGGUCUCACAACGUGGUAUGGAGAAGAGCUUGAGGCUGGAAGGCAUCGUGUCAGCAAGCCCCCCGCCCUUACACAAGCAGCGCAUCGGGUGGAGCCAUACCAGGUCUCUCCACUCCCCACAGGGAGUUCCAGGCUUUAUGGUGGGGCCUGUUUGUCCUCUGAGGGAUCCCCCAGACACCAGGGCCAGACCCCUCCUGGGGGCUCCCUCAGGACCACUAUAUCCAGACCAAUAGCUGGGUCAUGACAUCAGUUACUGAGUUACAACCAGCAUAUAGAAAAUGAGAGAAAAUAUCAGAGGGGUGUUUAAGUAAGAGUACGCACGGCUUUGUGAAACUUUUGUUUUAAAUAUGAGUGUGUGUAUGACAUUAUGAUAGAAUAUAUUUCUUCCUCAG